CCCGUAACCGACGCUUCAUCGAGCGUGAAAUCGAGUAGGGCGGGACACGUGAUAUCCUGUCUGAAUAUGGGGGGACCAUCCUCCAAGGCUAAAUACUCCUGACUGACCGAUAGUGAACCAGUACCGUGAGGGAAAGGCGAAAAGAACCCCUGUGAGGGGAGUGAAAUAGAACCUGAAACCGUGUACGUACAAGCAGUAGGAGCACCUUCGUGGUGUGACUGCGUACCUUUUGUAUAAUGGGUCAGCGACUUAUAUUCAGUGGCAAGGUUAACCGUAUAGGGGAGCCGUAGCGAAAGCGAGUCUUAACUGGGCGCUCAGUCUCUGGAUAUAGACCCGAAACCGGGUGAUCUAGCCAUGGGCAGGUUGAAGGUUGAGUAACAUCAACUGGAGGACCGAACCGACUAAUGUUGAAAAAUUAGCGGAUGACUUGUGGCUAGGGGUGAAAGGCCAAUCAAACUCGGAGAUAGCUGGUUCUCCCCGAAAGCUAUUUAGGUAGCGCCUCGGACGAAUACUACUGGGGGUAGAGCACUGUUAAGGCUAGGGGGUCAUCCCGACUUACCAACCCUUUGCAAACUCCGAAUACCAGUAAGUACUAUCCGGGAGACACACGGCGGGUGCUAACGUCCGUCGUGGAGAGGGAAACAACCCAGACCGCCAGCUAAGGUCCCAAAGUAUUGCUAAGUGGGAAACGAUGUGGGAAGGCUCAGACAGCUAGGAUGUUGGCUUAGAAGCAGCCAUCAUUUAAAGAAAGCGUAAUAGCUCACUAGUCGAGUCGGCCUGCGCGGAAGAUGUAACGGGGCUAAGCAAUACACCGAAGCUGCGGCAAUAUCUUUUAGAUAUUGGGUAGGGGAGCGUUCUGUAAGCCGUUGAAGGUGAAUCGUAAGGUUUGCUGGAGGUAUCAGAAGUGCGAAUGCUGACAUGAGUAACGACAAAGGGGGUGAAAAACCUCCUCGCCGGAAGACCAAGGGUUCCUGUCCAACGUUAAUCGGGGCAGGGUGAGUCGACCCCUAAGGUGAGGCCGAAAGGCGUAAUCGAUGGGAAACGGGUUAAUAUUCCCGUACUUCUGACUAUUGCGAUGGGGGGACGGAGAAGGCUAGGUGGGCCAGGCGACGGUUGUCCUGGUUCAAGUGCGUAGGCUUGAGAGUUAGGUAAAUCCGGCUCUCUCUAAGGCUGAGACACGACGUCGAGCUGCUACGGCAGUGAAGUCAUUGAUGCCAUGCUUCCAGGAAAAGCCUCUAAGCUUCAGAUAGUCAGGAAUCGUACCCCAAACCGACACAGGUGGUCGGGUAGAGAAUACCAAGGCGCUUGAGAGAACUCGGGUGAAGGAACUAGGCAAAAUGGUACCGUAACUUCGGGAGAAGGUACGCUCUUGAUGGUGAAGUCCCUCGCGGAUGGAGCUGACGAGAGUCGCAGAUACCAGGUGGCUGCAACUGUUUAUUAAAAACACAGCACUGUGCAAAAUCGCAAGAUGACGUAUACGGUGUGACGCCUGCCCGGUGCCGGAAGGUUAAUUGAUGGGGUUAGCGCAAGCGAAGCUCUUGAUCGAAGCCCCGGUAAACGGCGGCCGUAACUAUAACGGUCCUAAGGUAGCGAAAUUCCUUGUCGGGUAAGUUCCGACCUGCACGAAUGGCGUAAUGAUGGCCACGCUGUCUCCACCCGAGACUCAGUGAAAUUGAAAUCGCUGUGAAGAUGCAGUGUACCCGCGGCUAGACGGAAAGACCCCGUGAACCUUUACUACAGCUUGGCACUGAACAUUGAACCUACAUGUGUAGGAUAGGUGGGAGGCUAUGAAGACGUGACGCCAGUUGCGUUGGAGCCGUCCUUGAAAUACCACCCUUGUAUGUUUGAUGUUCUAACUUAGACCCGUUAUCCGGGUUGAGGACAGUGCCUGGUGGGUAGUUUGACUGGGGCGGUCUCCUCCCAAAGAGUAACGGAGGAGCACGAAGGUGGGCUAAUCACGGUUGGACAUCGUGAGGUUAGUGCAAUGGCAUAAGCCCGCUUAACUGCGAGAAUGACGGUUCGAGCAGGUGCGAAAGCAGGUCAUAGUGAUCCGGUGGUUCUGUAUGGAAGGGCCAUCGCUCAACGGAUAAAAGGUACUCCGGGGAUAACAGGCUGAUACCGCCCAAGAGUUCAUAUCGACGGCGGUGUUUGGCACCUCGAUGUCGGCUCAUCACAUCCUGGGGCUGAAGUCGGUCCCAAGGGUAUGGCUGUUCGCCAUUUAAAGUGGUACGCGAGCUGGGUUUAGAACGUCGUGAGACAGUUCGGUCCCUAUCUGCCGUGGGCGUUGGAAGAUUGAAGGGGGCUGCUCCUAGUACGAGAGGACCGGAGUGGACGAACCUCUGGUGUUCGGGUUGUGUCGCCAGACGCAUUGCCCGGUAGCUAAGUUCGGAAUUGAUAAGCGCUGAAAGCAUCUAAGCGCGAAGCGAGC
rnacentral:rRNA from 1 species